GGCAUUGUGGCAGAGUGGUCUAAUGCGUUAGACUCGAAAUCUAAUCUCUUCGGAGGCGUCUGUUCAAAUCAGGCCAAUGUCG
rnacentral:tRNA from 1 species